CAGCAAAGCACCGAAGCACACGCAUCACCUAAAGCGCAUGCGUCGGUGCUGCUCAGA
rnacentral:pre_miRNA from 1 species